AUGCAGAGAGCUGAGAGAGAGGCCAUGGAAGCAAAGCAAAGAAAGAUAAGUGCUAUCCAUGAGAAUUAUGUCCGGACUGCUCUCAUCGGGGUUGGCAGCACCUUCGCGCACCACUUCGUCCCCUCUAUUCAGUGCAUUCCGCGGCCGAAAGCUCCACCGAGGCCUUUGCCACGAAGGCUUGAACACAUAGCUCUGGCCCCACUGAAGAACGUGGUGGGGGUGGACGGAGCUCAAGUUCGACCCGGAUCUCACUCUCUGGAGUCCAUCCAGGUGAAUAAGUCAUUCAGCAGCAGUAGCGUGCGGCCUGUUCCCGUCCCUCCCACUGGAGCUCCCUCCAAGAGGGGCAAGAAGAAGAAGGAGGGCAGGCGGGGAGUCAAAGCCCUGAAAGUCCAGUUGGACCAGGGCUGUGCUGACAACAACGGACCCAUUGACCUGAUGGAGGAGGUGAGGGACAUCGAGGCUCACCUGAAGGAGGAGGCCUGGAAGGUGGUACAUGAGGUGAAGGCCAUGGGCAGGAGAAGUUUGGGCUCGGCCAUGUCCAUGGGGGAAAUAGCCACCAGCUCUCUGGGAAGCCUGAGCUCAGUGGAUAUGAACACCCCUGCGGAGCUCCGUGACUACUUGGAUGUUGGGACCCCGGUAAAGUCGCGUGACAGCCCACCCAGGCCUGCUCCCCCUCCUACCAAGCCCAGGAGCAAACUGCCUCGGCCUACAAGGUUCCUUAGCCUUCAAAAGGCUGAUACCGGCUCAGACAAGAAGGCAGCCAGUGAGCCAAAGGGCCAAAUAAAGAAAGGUCAGGACCAGGCCAGAUUGCAGCCCCUGUCCAACCCAGAGCAGGCCCUGACUAAGACCUUUAAGCUGCUCCACUCUGCCUCUGAUGACUGGGAGAAGAAGAUCGAGGGCUUGACCUCUCUCCGUGUGAUGGCUCAGAACCACAUGGACAUACUGAUGCCUAAACUCCAUGAUAUCUGCCUUGCCAUUAUAAAUGAGGUAGCUGUAUUCAUUCACUGCCCUAUUCAUUCAUCUGCACAAAUCUGCUACAUUUGGAGAACAAGCCAAAUUAUUGUGUCAUGUUUCUGA
rnacentral:lncRNA from 1 species